GAUUAGCAUGGUCCCUAUGCAAGAAUUACACGCAAAUUUGUUAAACGUUCCAUAUUUUU
rnacentral:snRNA from 1 species